GUGUGUCAAGUAGCUGCCAGGCCAGAGGUUUUGUGUGAUUGUUUUUAAAAAACAAUUUUCUUUUUUCUUUGAAGCUCAACUCAAGACUUUGCAGCUUAAUGAAAAUAGAUAGAAGUGUCACACAUCGUAUCACCCUCAGACAAAUGGCCUCGACGAAAAGACAAAUGACAACAUAAAAAGGUAUGUUUUAUUUGUAUGUAACAUUUCAUUUGCUUUUAAGACACUGUCACUAUUGUGGUUUUUUUAUGUCCACAUGUAGAGCCCUGAGAAAAUUAGUCAACAGUCAAAAGAAUGACUGGGAUGUGUAUCUGGAUGCUAAACUGUUUUCUUUGAGGUUCAAGGUCCACACCACAACCAAAUACACACCAUUCCGUUUAAUGUAUGGGAGAGAAGCUACGUAUCCUUCUGAAGUUCCUGUUGAAGUCCCAGUAAGUGUUAUUAAGGAAUUUUAUUUAUGCAACAACUAUGAUAAUGCAUAAAUUAAAUGUAAUCUUAAUUGGAAAUUGUGCAUAUUGAUAUUGGCUGCAGCUUUAAUCUUCUCUGUUUAACUUCUAUAUGCAAGAUACAUUUAAAAGAUAAAGUAAGUGACUAGUUACUUCUUUAUGUUUGUAUCUUUAUGUAAAGUAAUAAAUGUUGAGGAGACCUUUAAGUAUAAUGUGUUCACCUAUGGAAGUGUAUCAAGAGGAAGAAGUGAGUAUACAAAAAAAUGAUAUGAGUCUAUCUUUGUGGCUUUCUGUGCUCAAAGCUUUAUAAUAGUAUAUUUACUUUUAAACAUGAGUUAUUAUAGUUAGAAUUUUCAGUUCAUGUUUCACAUGCAUUAUUUGUCUUUAUGAUUUUAAUUGUAAUUUAAAAUGUGUCCUCCAUCAUUCUCCCUGAGGAGCCGAGUUACGGUGACUUUGUAUCUUCUACAAGAGACGCACAAGAGCAAGUUAAAAAAAACACUGUCGAGGAAAAUAUGGCAAAGUCCCAAGACUUACAAAAGGAAGCCUAUGCCAGACAAGUCCAGAAGAAGUACAGAAACCUUGUGUACAGCUUUGGUGAUGAAGUUCUUCUCUUGAACAUGAGGAAACGUGGAAGGAAGGGAGGAAGGUUUGAUCCAGAUUUUUCAGGACCCUAGACCAUUCAAGACAUCCCUGGCAAAUGUGUGAGAUUAAAAAACACGGAAGGAGCAACUUUAACUACAACUUCACUACAGCAUUGACCAUAUCAAGCCGUACAGAAGAAGCCACCAUGUAAAUGUCAGUGACAAUGAAAAAUACCCAACUCACAGUCAGACAGUGAACAGCAGCACAGACCUGAAGAUGCCCCCCUGCCAUCCUCCGGCUAACCCUCAGUGCCAGCAAAGUCCAGAGGAUACCAGACCCUCUAUUAUUUGGAGAGGUCAGUGAGGUGUUACCCACUACAGAAGCAGUUGUGCUGGAGCAAAUGCAGAUAGCUUGCACCCUACUUGAACAUCGAGGGAACGCUGAGGACUACUGCAUUGUUUGCUCUAUGUUAGAUGCUGAUGCUGACCGCAGCAUGAUGGCAAAACAAAUGGCAAAACAAAACAAAAGAAACACAUAAGUCUUAGUAUCAUUACUUGCUAAUCAUGUUGACUAAUAGUAUUCACCAAACAUAAUAUGAGCUAUUUAUUUUUCCUUUCCAGGUGCAGUGUGAAUUUUGCCAAAGAUGGGCACAUUUUGCAUGUGCAAAAUAUAAAGAGAGCAACCAAGAAUAUAAAUGCAAAAAAUGUAAGGAAAACACAUAACAACUUCAAAUAAAAACAGCUGUCUUUUCCCCU